CAAAUGGAGAGUUUGAUCCUGGCUCAGGAUGAACGCUGGCGGCAUGCCUAAUACAUGCAAGUCGAACGAGAGACCUUCGGGUCUCUAGUGGCGAACGGGUGAGUAACACGUAGGGAACCUGCCCGCGCACCGGGAAUACGCUCUGGAAACGGAGAACAAAUCCCGAUGUACAGGAAGGAGGCAUCUUCUUUCUGUGAAACAUCCUUUAGGGGAUGGGGCGCGGAUGGACCUGCGGUGCAUUAGUUUGUUGGCGGGGUAAAGGCCCACCAAGACGAUGAUGCAUAGCCGGCCUGAGAGGGCGGACGGCCACAUUGGGACUGAGACACGGCCCAGACUCCUGCGGGAGGCAGCAGUAGGGAAUUUUCGUCAAUGG
rnacentral:rRNA from 1 species